UACGUAGGGUCCGAGCGUUGUCCGGAAUUAUUGGGCGUAAAGAGCUCGUAGGCGGUUUGUCGCGUCUGCUGUGAAAUCCCGAGGCUCAACCUCGGGCCUGCAGUGGGUACGGGCAGACUGGAGUGCGGUAGGGGAGAAUGGAAUUCCUGGUGUAGCGGUGGAAUGCGCAGAUAUCAGGAGGAACACCGAUGGCGAAGGCAGUUCUCUGGGCCGUAACUGACGCUGAGACGCGAAAGCGUGGGGAGCAAACAGG
rnacentral:rRNA from 1 species